rnacentral:rRNA from 1 species
CCAAACUGUUGCCUCGGCGGGAUCUCUGCCCCGGGUGCGUCGCAGCCCCGGACCAAGGCGCCCGCCGGAGGACCAACCAAAACUCUUUUUGUAUACCCCCUCGCGGGUUUUUUUUAUAAUCUGAGCCUUCUCGGCGCCUCUCGUAGGCGUUUCGAAAAUGAAUCAAAACUUUCAACAACGGAUCUCUUGGUUCUGGCAUCGAUGAAGAACGCAGCGAAAUGCGAUAAGUAAUGUGAAUUGCAGAAUUCAGUGAAUCAUCGAAUCUUUGAACGCACAUUGCGCCCGCCAGUAUUCUGGCGGGCAUGCCUGUCCGAGCGUCAUUUCAACCCUCGAACCCCUCCGGGGGGUCGGCGUUGGGGAUCGGCCCUGCCUCUUGGCGGUGGCCGUCUCCGAAAUACAGUGGCGGUCUCGCCGCAGCCUCUCCUGCGCAGUAGUUUGCACACUCGCAUCGGGAGCGCGGCGCGUCCACAGCCGUUAAACACCCAACUUCUGAAAUGUUGACCUCGGAUCAGGUAGGAAUACCCGCUGAACUUAAGCAUAUCAAUAGCCGGGAGGGAA